rnacentral:rRNA from 1 species
UACGUAGGGGGCAAGCGUUGUCCGGAUUUAUUGGGCGUAAAGCGCGCGCAGGCGGUCUAUUAAGUCUGAUGUGAAAGCCCACGGCUCAACCGUGGAACUGCCUUAGAUACUGUCGGCCUCGAGGAAGGUAGGGGCGUGCGGAACUGUAGGUGGAGCGGUGAAAUGCGUUGAUAUCUACAGGAACUCCGGUGGCGAAAGCGGCGCGCUGGACCUUUUCUGACGCUGAGGCGCGAAAGCCAGGGGAGCAAACGGG